rnacentral:tRNA from 1 species
UCGGAUAUGGUGUAGUGGCCAACAUUAUCGCCUCUCAAACGGGUUCGCGAUAGCCCGGGGUUCGAUUCCCCGUAUCCGAA